rnacentral:rRNA from 1 species
CGAAUGCUGACAUAAGUAACGAUAAAGCGGGUGAAAAGCCCGCUCGCCGGAAGACCAAGGGUUCCUGUCCAACGUUAAUCGGGGCAGGGUGAGUCGACCCCUAAGGCGAGGCCGAAAGGCGUAGUCGAUGGGAAACAGGUUAAUAUUCCUGUACUUGGUGUUACUGCGAAGGGGGGACGGAGAAGGCUAUGUUGGCCGGGCGACGGUUGUCCCGGUUUAAGCGUGUAGGCUGGUUUUCCAGGCAAAUCCGGAAAAUCAAGGCUGAGGCGUGAUGACGAGGCACUACGGUGCUGAAGCAACAAAUGCCCUGCUUCCAGGAAAAGCCUCUAAGCAUCAGGUAACAUCAAAUCGUACCCCAAACCGACACAGGUGGUCAGGUAGAGAAUACCAAGGCGCUUGAGAGAACUCGGGUGAAGGAACUAGGCAAAAUGGUGCCGUAACUUCGGGAGAAGGCACGCUGAUAUGUAGGUGAAGUCCCUCGCGGAUGGAGCUGAAAUCAGUCGAAGAUACCAGCUGGCUGCAACUGUUUAUUAAAAACACAGCACUGUGCAAACACGAAAGUGGACGUAUACGGUGUGACGCCUGCCCGGUGCCGGAAGGUUAAUUGAUGGGGUUAGCGCAAGCGAAGCUCUUGAUCGAAGCCCCGGUA